UACGGAGGGUGCGAGCGUUGUCCGGAAUCACUGGGCGUAAAGGGCGCGUAGGUGGCCUGUGGAAGUCUGCGGUGAAAGCCCGGGGCUCAACCCCGGGAGGCGGGUGGAUACUGUCAAGCUCGAGUCCGAAAGAGGCGAGUGGAAUUCCUGGUGUAGCGGUGAAAUGCGCAGAUAUCAGGAGGAACACCAAUGGCGAAGGCAGCUCGCUGGGACGUGACUGACGCUGAGACGCGAAGGCGUGGGGAGCAAACAGG
rnacentral:rRNA from 1 species